ACAUCAUCCAGCAGCAGCCUCUUUCUCCUGUCAGGCGUUGUUCUUCUUAGAAACCUUCAAGAACUAAUUAGGUUGCUAGUGUCGAUACUGCCCAAAGAAAUUAGCUGAGGGAUCUGGGAUUGUGUUUUAAUUGGUGCAUAUUAUGAUUGAUGUACGCAAGACAUGUAAAUAUUCAUUCAUGUUCACUGAAUGAAUAGUGGUAGAAAAAGACUAAAGAAUUCUUCUAUGUUGUGGAAGAAUUUCAUCAUUUAAGGACUGUCAACAUGCGUUGUUAAAAUUGUUCGUGGUUCGCUCGUCAACGGAAAAUCAGAUCGGUGUUGAAAAAGGACUGCAAACCUUGUUAAAGACGUGCGUAUCAAGAGACAUAGCGACACGGUACGUCAUCGAAUAGUGGUCCUCUGAGGCAGACAGGAUGUCGAUUUUUGCAGGGUGAACAUUGAAAAACGUUUCAGCCAUGACAGAGAACCCACGCGCAGCAAAUGCAUUUGUAAGUAAUACUUCGCUGUGGAUAAUACUGAUGGCUAACUUCGCAAGGUUCAAUGCUUCCUUCAAACCCCUGGGUUCACAGUGAACAAGAGCAGCAGAACAAAAGUGGCAACGACUCCUCAUCGCUUUUCACGCCUCAUCUGCAACAGCCGUCACAAUAGCAAACUCUGCCAGCUGUACCAGUCGUAGGAUUGCCAGGCCUUUAGCAACCUUUUGCCUAGCAAAUUGACUGUGGGUCUUGUUCCAACUGUGACAGUUGGCGAAAGAUUGGAUUAUGGUUAUGAGAGAGGUUUAAAUGGAAGCGAAGAAAACAAAACAUUAGGUUUUACGAUGAAACGGAAGCUCGAUGAGGUUAUUGUAACACUCGUCCCUGACGAUGGUAGCCGGCGUUUACUUACAAGAUCCCUAUGCAGGACCUAGUCGGGCCAAAAUGAAGAAAAUCACCCGGCGACAGGAUGUUUCCAAGCCAGGAAUUGUGAGAUUCUGAGAGGACAAACAGGUGGCGAGCCAACAACGGUUCAACAAAAAUUGGUAACUACACAAAAAUAUGACGGCCAUCCUCAAUCUACCAUCAUGCGUGUGCUUCGUUUGCUGCUAAAAUAAAUAAUAAUUAUAAUAAACUUCUUCUAAAACCUAAAAAAAAAAAGAUAAAAUAAACCUAUGCUCUACUGAAAUCCUAGAACCCAAGGUGCCAUUGUUGCUGCUACGCCAUCCCAAUGUGAAAUAUUAUAGCGUAUUGCUAUCUAUUUGAAUACCUAAAUCUGUUGACCAUCCACAUAUAUUAAAUAAUUUAGAUUUCGUGAAAAUGUUGAAGUUCGUAUUAACGUAGCUAAUGAGCAGAGGUACGUAGUCAUCUUUUUUAUUUAAAUAUUACGAUAGAAAUAUGGGUAUAUCACACAUAUAUUUGUGCACG